GUGGAGCUCAUCCUGAUACAGCCGAGGUCCCGAAUGUGUCUAUCAAAUAUCACAGAAGAGCCGGAGCUGAAGACCUCACCAGUGAAUCCAGGAGCUCCAACUGAAGAGAGAAGGAGAGAGAGAAAGACUACAAUGAUAGACUGUACAAGCAGGAUCAACUUACAUUGUCUGAGCUAUUAAAUCAGACGGACCAUUCUGGACAGAAACCCUGUUGCUCACCAAAGACCUCUGCUUUUCUUCAAUGGAUUUGAGGGUCACCUGCAGACUGAAGGACAAUUCCAUUCUUCAGGCUGUCAGAAUGCCGAACUCAACCUGCACCCCUCUAACACACCCCACUAACACAAUGGGACCUGCGCCAGACACUUUGUGCAGCAUUGGUCUGCUCACUACCUCAUCCAGCAGUUAUCUGACCACAUUCAACUACCUCUUCUGUCAGUUUAAAUAAAUAACUACUCUCUGAUAUUUUUGACACUUUAUUAGACUGAAUAAGCUCUUUUGCCCUACAAUCAUUGUAUCUGCACUGUUUACUUCACUGGAUUACACUCUGCCAUGUGCCUUGUGCUGCUUUA